AGCUAAACUGCAUGCUAAAGUAUUUAUAAAAAGAUAUUUCCACAGAGCUUGAAGGGCUAUAGAUCUAGCUAGCUAACCUGGAUCUGUAUUGCAUACAUAGUCUACAACACCUGACUGAAUUCAAAGUCAGGCAAUGGCAGCCAGUAUAAAUAGCUUCCAUUUUCAAGUCGUAGGAGAUGACCACACUGGUAAUCAGGCUCUGUUGAAAUGAUACGCAAUAGUAAGUCCAUUAAUAUAGCUGUUAACCAUGCAAGUCGUGGAGGUGAAUUCUGUCAACGUUAUUAUUAUAGGGUAGGCACUUUGAGGUCAAUGGAAAUCUGUGCAACAUUCGGCUGUCACUGUUCCAAGACCCAACUGAAAGAACUGUCCUUACGUUGGGAUCUCCCGAAACCAUCGAUGGCUACAUCUUCGUGUACAAUGCUGCAGAUAUGGAAUCUUUCCAUAGGCUGAAUGAAUGGAUCGAUAUGUUCAACCAUGAGAAAUCAAUAUUUGAAGAGCCCAAAGUUCUGCUAGGAAAUGUGCCGAGCAGUGGAGAGAGAAAUGUGGAGCUCAAUCUUGUCUUGGCAUUUACUGAUUUUACAAACAUGAAGAACUUUGAAACUGAUCUUGCUGAAGACACAUUUGGAGCAGAGAGAGCGAUUUCAACACUUGUUAGUGCUAGUUUGCCAACGGCUACAUAGCCACAAAGUCCAACAACGAUAUUAGCGACCUUACAAGCUAAUACAACUGUUAAAGGAAAUGACAAAGCGAUAACAUUACCCGCUACUGCCAGUCGUAGGAGAUCGAAAACUGCCAGAGGCCCGCAAACAUUGGUAUCUUCCGAAUACGCUGAUAGCUUCAGUUUCAAUAGCCAAGAGUUUUGGUUGCUAAGCAAAACAAUGAUGGACUUAACAUGACCGUUGCCAAGAUGUCAUCACUCAAUCUAGACUCUGAGGAUAUGGAUGUGAAGUAAGAUGGGACAGAAAGCAGCUCCGGGAAUACAGCAAACCCAUUGGAUAGAUUUUCAAGAGUUGCUAAGGAAGCAAAUGGUUAUCUGAAAGCUGCCCAAAAAAAGAUCAAAUUGGCUCAAAAAACAAGCAAC